GACGUAGGGGGCGAGCGUUGUCCGGAUUUAUUGGGCGUAAAGCGCGCGCAGGCGGUUCGGAAAGUCGGAUGUGAAAAUCCGGGGCUCAACCCCGGACGUGCAUCCGAUACUCCCGGACUGGAGGCAGGUAGGGGAGAGCGGAAUUCCCGGUGUAGCGGUGAAAUGCGCAGAUAUCAGGAAGAACACCAAUGGCGAAGGCAGCUCUCUGGGACGGUACUGACACUGAGACACGAAAGCCAGGGGAGCGAACGGG
rnacentral:rRNA from 1 species